rnacentral:rRNA from 1 species
GACGAACGCUGGCGGCGUGCUUAACACAUGCAAGUCGAGCGAUGAAGCACCUUCGGGUGUGAAUUAGCGGCGAACGGGUGAGGAACACGUGAAGAAUCUGCCUUCAACUCUGGGAUAACUCCGGGAAACCGGGGCUAAUACCGGAUAUGAGCCUUGAUCGCAUGAUCGGGGCUGGAAAGUUUGUCGGUUGAAGAUGGCUUCGCGGCCUAUCAGCUUGUUGGUGAGGUAAUGGCUCACCAAGGCGACGACGGGUAGCCGGCCUGAGAGGGCGACCGGCCACACUGGGACUGAGACACGGCCCGGACUCCUACGGGAGGCAGCAAUGGGGAAUAUUGGGCAAUGGAGGAAACUCUGACCCAGCGACGCCGCGUGAGGGAUGAAGGCCUUCGGGUUGUAAACCUCUUUCAGUAGGGAAGAAGCGAAAGUGACGGUACCUACAGAAGAAGCACCGGCUAACUAUGUGCCAGCCGCCGCAGUAA